UAGCGGCGUUGAAACACCGGUUCUCAUACGAUCGUGGAAGUUAAGCAACAUCGAGCAGCCUGGACAGUACCUAGAUGGGUGACCGCUUGGAAAGGGCGG